rnacentral:rRNA from 1 species
UAGGGAAUCUUCCACAAUGGACGCAAGUCUGAUGGAGCAACGCCGCGUGAGUGAAGAAGGUCUUCGGAUCGUAAAACUCUGUUGUUAGAGAAGAACACGAGUGAGAGUAACUGUUCUUGUAUUGACGGUAUCUAACCAGAAAGCCACGGCUAACUACGUACCAG